GCAGGUAUAGCUUAGUGGUAGAGUGUGUGCUUAGCAUGCACAGGGUCCUGGGUUCAAUCUUUAGUACCUCA
rnacentral:tRNA from 1 species